rnacentral:rRNA from 1 species
AGAGUUUGAUCAUGGCUCAGAACGAACGCUGGCGGCGUGCCUAACACAUGCAAGUCGUACGAGAAAUCCUGGGCAANUGGGAGAGUAAAGUGGCGCACGGGUGAGUAACGCGUGGGUAACCUACCCUUGAAUUGGGGAUAACUCCUCGAAAGGGGAGUUAAUACCGAAUAAUAUCUCGAUGCCUACGGGUGUCGUGAUCAAAGGUGGCCUCUGCAUGCAAGCUAUCAUUUAAGGAUGGGCCCGCGUACCAUUAGCUAGUUGGUGGGGUAAUGGCCUACCAAGGCAACGAUGGUUAGCUGGUCUGAGAGGAUGGCCAGCCACACUGGAACUGAGACACGGUCCAGACUCCUACGGGAGGCAGCAGUGGGGAAUCUUGCGCAAUGGGGGAAACCCUGACGCAGCAACGCCGCGUGGGUGAUGAAGGCCUUCGGGUCGUAAAGCCCUGUCAGGUGGGAAGAAACUUGUGGAUGUUAAUACCAUCCACACUUGACGGUACCACCGGAGGAAGCACCGGCUAACUCCGUGCCAGCAGCCGCGGUAAUACGGAGGGUGCAAGCGUUGUUCGGAAUUACUGGGCGUAAAGCGCGUGUAGGCGGUUGGGCAAGUCAGAUGUGAAAGCCUUCUGCUUAACAGAAGAAGUGCAUUUGAAACUACCCGGCUAGAGUACGAGAGAGGAGAGUGGAAUUCCCGGUGUAGAGGUGAA